rnacentral:rRNA from 1 species
UGGGGAAUAUUGGACAAUGGGCGAAAGCCUGAUCCAGCCAUGCCGCGUGUGUGAAGAAGGUCUUCGGAUUGUAAAGCACUUUAAGUUGGGAGGAAGGGCAUUAACCUAAUACGUUAGUGUUUUGACGUUACCGACAGAAUAAGCACCGCCUAACUCUGUGCCAGCAGCCGCGGUAAUACAGAGGGUGCAAGCGUUAAUCGGAAUUACUGGGCGUAAAGCGCGCGUAGGUGGUUUGUUAAGUUGGAUGUGAAAUCCCCGGGCUCAACCUGGGAACUGCAUUCAAAACUGACUGACUAGAGUAUGGUAGAGGGUGGUGGAAUUUCCUGUGUAGCGGUGAAAUGCGUAGAUAUAGGAAGGAACACCAGUGGCGAAGGCGACCACCUGGACUAAUACUGACACUGAGGUGCGAAAGCGUGGGGAGCAAACA